UCCAGAGUGGUGUAAUGGUAGCAUCCCUAGUUGACACAUGGUAGGAAGUGUAAUUCCCCAUGCCCUUCGGGGGCCAGGGGAUCCGGGUUCAAGUCUCGGCUCUGGAA